rnacentral:rRNA from 1 species
ACAGAGAUGGCUAGCGUUGUUCGGAUUCAUUGGGUGUAAAGGGUGCGUAGGCGGCCCAGAAAGUCGGAUGUGAAAGCCCACAGCUCAACUGUGGAAUUGCAUUUGAAACUUCUAGGCUGGAGUGCGGGAGAGGUGAAGGGAAUUCCCGGUGUAAGGGUGAAAACUGCAGAGAUCGGGAGGAACACCCGUGGGGAAGGGGCGUCACUGGGCCACAACUGGCGGUGAGAGCACGAAAGCAUGGGGAGUAAACGG